rnacentral:lncRNA from 13 species
AUGUCAACUCACCAUCAUUACGAUCAGGAAUAUGACUUUCCGAAAGCGGAUCCUGUGUUUUGCCUUCCACCCAGGACAAUGGACCGGAUCCCAGCCGGCGAACCUACACAACGUUGCCGUAAAAGGGGCAAACGAAGCGGUCUUCUGGUCAGGCUCCGGAGACGGGCACUUCGCGCACCACUCCCUAGCAUACUACUCGCCAAUGUCCAGUCUCUUGACAACAAGGUUGAUGAAAUCCGAGCAAGGGUAGCAUUCCAGAGAGACAUCAGAGACUGUAACAUUCUUUGCUUCACGGAAACAUGGCUCACUCGAGAGACGCUAUCGGAGUCGGUGCAGCCAGCUGGUUUCUUCACGCAUCGCACCGACAGAAACAAGCAUCUUUCUGGUAAGAAGAGGGGCGGGGGGGUAUGCCUUAUGAUUAACGAGGCGUGGUGUGAUCAUAACAACAUACAGGAACUCAAGUCCUUCUGUUCACCUGACUUCACAAUCAAAUGUCGACCGCAUUAUCUAUCAAGGGAAUUCUCUUCGAUUAUAAUCACAGCAAUAUAUAUUCCCCCCCAAGCAGACACAUCGAUGGCCCUGAACAAACUUUAUUUGACUCUAUGUAAACUGGAAACCACAUAUCCUGAGGAUGCAUUCAUUGUAGCUGGGGAUUUUAACAAGGCUAAUCUGAAAACAAGACUCCCUAAAUUCUUUCCGCAUAUCGAUUGCGCAACCAGGGCUGGUAAAAUCCUGGAUCAUUGUUAUUCUAACUUCCGCGACGCAUAUAAGGCCCUCCCCCGCCCUCCUUUCGGAAAAGCUGACCACGACUCCAUUUUGUUUCUUCCAGCCUACAGACAGAAACUAAAACAAGAAUCUCCCACGCUCAGGUCGGUUCAACGCUGGUCCGACCAAUCUGAUUCCACGCUUCAAGACUGCUUCGAUCACGUGAAUUGGGAUAUGUUCCGCAUUGCGUACAACAACAACAUUGACGAAUACGCUGAUUCGGUGAGCGAGUUCAUUAGAAAGUGCAUCGGCGAUGUCGUACCCACAGCAACGAUUAAAACAUUCCCAAACCAGAAACCGUGGAUUGAUGGCAGCAUUCACGCAAAACUGAAAGCGCGAACCACUACUUUUAACCAGGGCAAGGUGACCGGAAACAUGACCGAAUACAAACAGUGUAGCUAUUCCCGCCGCAAGGCAAUCAAACAAGCUAAGCGUCAGUAUAGAGACAAAGUAGAGUUGCAAUUCAACGGCUCAGACACAAGAGGUAUGUGGCAGGGUCUACAGUCAAUCACGGAUUACAAAAAGAAAACCAGCCCCGUCGCGGACCAGGAUAUCUUGCUCCCAGACAGACUCAAUAACUUCUUUGCUCACUUUGAGGACAAUACAGUGCCACUGACACGGCCCGCUUCCAAAACCUGCGAAACUCUCCUUCGCUGCAGCCGACGUGAGUAA